CCGGCCGCCGCGCUUGUUGCCUGCUCUUACGGUGGUCCUUCUUUAGCGUCGACUGCGCUUCCCCGUUCGCGUGAUCGCCGUUCCCAACCGGUUGCCUUCGUGGGUUCCCUGUUUUCCUUUUUCCUUUCUCUUUUUGUUCCCAUUAUAUUUCCGGGAUAUGGAGAUUUAUGGGGUAGUUACGGGUGGGGACUACCAACACUAUCAGAUGUCAAGUUUCAACUGGGUUUUGUGGGAUUAGUUCUUGAUAAUCAUUGUGUUCCUUGCAGUUAUGGCUUGUCCUUUUUGCCGUAUGCCUGGUGGCCCGUGUUCUUCUGUUGAUUCUUCUGUAGAUGGGUUCAGUGUGGUCCUGGAUCGGCGUUGUUGGAGGCGUGUUGUAAGAAUAUCAUUUUAUAAUUGUUCAAUUUUUGGCACACACGCUUAUUUCUUUUGGUGCUGCUCAUGCUGUUUAGGUUUUGAUUAUGAUCCUUGUUUUGAUUUGUUGUGCAGUAUGUUCCGUGCAGUGUUAGAGUUCAUCUUGCUCGUUACAUCGAGGAGUGUAGGGCUUUAGCCAUAAAGAGGGGUGACGAAGAUACUGAUCUUGCUUUUCAGUGCAAUGAGGGUUAUUUGUAUGGUGUUUUGUUUAGUCAUGGUCAGUUGAGGAGCAAAUUCCAUGGUCCUUCCUGGGAACGAUUGGUCAAUGAUUAUGGUGUUCGUCCUCGUGAUAUAAUGACCAUUAGGCUUGAACAUUAUGGAACAUGGAUUGGUAUUGAUUUUUAUCGUGUUGGUCGUGGAGAUGCGUUGUCUCCUUUACCGUCUGCUGGUAAGGUUUAUUUUUAAGGAAGUUUUUAGCUUGUUUUAUUGCACAUGAUGAUUUUUUGUUCCCUUGAGCCUGUGUAAUUAUAUUUUGUAGCUCUUGAUGGUUUGAGCGACUCCGAGAUGGAACUUGUUGGGAGUUGUUAUUACACCCGUGGUGUUUUUCUUAAUUAUCAGCAGAUGUAUUUCAUGAGGUGUCAACUCUUUGAUGAUGUCUACAUAUCCUGUUGUCCUUUUGUUCACAGGAUUGAUUCCAUGAAUGUUAAUGGUCAUCAUAUGGUUAUUCCUGGUAUUGUUGUGAGGAGUUUGAAGGAGUUUGUGACUUUUCCUAGGACUGGCGUUUUAACCCUUGAAGUUACUUUGGAAUCUGGUGAUGAUGAUAUAUAUGUGAGCACUCCUUGCUCCUACUUCAUUGGCUUGGGUAGUAGAAUGGUGUUCAAACAGGAAGGUUUCAGUGAUUUUCUCCAGGCAUUGUCUAUUGAAGUAAACAACUUGGUGCUGAUAACUUUCAAAGAGCGUGAUGUGAGGCUUGUUGUUAUCUUCAAUCUUCUGCCGCAGUGAUGUUAGUUAUAGCCUUUGAACAUAAAUGGAUUUUGUUUAAAAAUCUAUGCUACGGUUUAAUGUUGUCUAGAUACAUGAAACGAUAUGAACCUAAGUGUUCAUUGCUGUUGUAUGUUUGUAGAAGAGGUAUGGCUGUGCAUCUCUUUUAAAUA